CUCUGCCUUUUGAGGCUGGGAGUAGCUGUGGGCUACAACAUCCAGCCAGCAUUUCCUGGAUUCUGGGAAUCUGAACUCUGGGCCUCAUCGUACAUAACAAACGCCUUAACGGCUCAUUCAUCUCUUUGGCUUCAACUGCCAGCCAAGUCAGUUUUCUCAUCUUACCGAAAUAUCUGCAUGCUGAUCGCUCUGGAGCAUUUAUUAAAAAAUUCAGAGCCCCGAGUCUCUGGAGAGAGAGCCAAGGAAACUACAUUGUAAACAAACGAGUGAGUUUGAAGCCCAUAGUGCUAAGGUGGUACAUGGCUCAGACUUCUUUAGGACAUGCGCUCCUGGAUCAGGAGGUGUAAGCUAACUGAGUCAGCACAGAACAAAUGGCUUCUCUCCCUCA
rnacentral:lncRNA from 1 species